rnacentral:rRNA from 1 species
UACGAAGGGGGCUAGCGUUGCUCGGAAUUACUGGGCGUGAAGCGCACGUAGGCGGCUUUCUAAGUCGGGGGUGAAAUCCUGGAGCUCAACUCCAGAACUGCCUUCGAUACUGGAAAGCUCGAGUCCGGGAGAGGUGAGUGGAACUGCGAGUGUAGAGGUGAAAUUCGUAGAUAUUCGCAAGAACACCAGUGGCGAAGGCGGCUCACUGGCCCGGUACUGACGCUGAGGUGCGAAAGCGUGGGGAGCAAACAGG